rnacentral:rRNA from 1 species
UAGCGUAUAUUAAAGUUGUUGCGGUAAAAAAGCUCGUAGUUGGAUUUCUGUUGAGGACGACCGGUCCGUACCAUGUACGCGCAUCUGGUUCGGCCUCGGCAUCCUCUCGAUAGACGUUUCUGCGCUUGAUUGCGUGGAGCGGAUUUCGGGACUUUUACUUUGAGGAAAUUAGAGUGUUCACGGCAGGCUAUCGCCAGAAUACAUUAGCAUGGAAUAAUACUAUAGGAUCUCGGUUCUAUUUUGUUGGUUUCUAGACCCGGGGUAAUGAUUAAUAGGGACAAUUGGGGGCAUUUGUAUCAACACGUC